CCACAAAGCUACAUGAAUUGACUUAAAAAAGUCAAAAUUGGACUUAUAUGUUAACAAUGGAGUACAAAAAAUUAUAGCAGGAUAGCAGAUCUACUUAAAGUUUCAACAAAUUUGUUCAAAUUACUGAUCAUUUAGCUUCCAAAAUAAAUUAGUAACAUAAAAAGUUAAACAAGCCCCCACAAAAUGUAUAAAAAUUUGAAUACUAAAACCCUAAAUUCUUAAUCAAAACAUUGAAUUUCAUCAAACCCAUAAAACAAUUUCAGUAACUUACUCAAAAUGUUUGCAGAUUCACUGUGAAGAUUCGUUUAGGGAGUAAUGAUUCGUUUGAAAGGAUUAAUCAUUGGACGUUGAUGAACACCAAGGGUUAAUCACUGCAAGUUGGUCUGUAGACGAAUCGCACCAAGGGUGAGAGCAUGAUUAGAAAGGAUUCACUGUGAAGAUUCGUUUGAAGGAUGCGUGUUUUAGGUUUAGGGAGUAAAAACCCAUCUUGACCCAUGUGAAAAUUUAGAUGGGUAUUUUAAAACCCAUUCUAAC
rnacentral:lncRNA from 1 species